UUACGGCCAUAUCGUUUUGAAACAUUGGUUCCUGUAUGAUUAUCAAAGUUAAGCAACAUUGAGCCUGGUCAGUACCAAGAUGGGUGAACACUUGAGAAUAUCAGGUGUUAUA